GAAGUAAACGAGGUGGCUGCUCCACAUUUCGAAUGCGGAGUUCGGAAUGCGGGAUGCGGAAAAGAUGUUUUUCCAUUCCGCAAUCUGCAAUCCACAUUCCGCAUUCAAUAAGUGGGGAGGAAAGUCCGAGCUCUACAGGACAGGGUGGUCCCUAACGGGGACUGGAAGUGAUUCCAAGGAAAGUGCCACAGAAAACAUACCGCCGAUGGUAGCCGAAAGGCUGUCAGGCAAGGGUGAAAAGGUGGGGUAAGAGCCCACCGCAGCGCUGGCGACAGGGCUGGCAUGGUAAACCCCACCCGGAGAAAGGCUAAAUAGGGAGGGAUGAAGUGGUCCGCUUCGCUAUUACCUUCGGGUAAGCCGUUAGAGGCGUCUGGCAACAGGCGUCCCAGAUUAAUGGUCACCAACUACAAAACUCGGCUUAUUGUUUACUUCUGAA
rnacentral:RNase_P_RNA from 1 species